rnacentral:rRNA from 1 species
GACGGAGGAUGCGAGCGUUAUCCGGAAUCAUUGGGCGUAAAGCGUCUGUAGGCGGCUAGAUAAGUCAGCUGUUAAAGCUUGCGGCUUAACCUUAGAAUCGCAUUCGAAACUAUUAGGCUAGAGUGGAGCAGGGGUUAAGGGAAUUUCCGGUGGAGCGGUGAAAUGCGUAGAGAUCGGAAAGAACACCUGUGGCGAAAGCGCUUAACUGGGCUAUAACUAACGCUGAGAUACGAAAGAUAGGGGAGCGAAUGGG